GAGGGGAUAGCUCAAAUGGUAGAGCACAUGCUUAGCAAGCAGGAGGUCCUGGGUUCAAUCCCCAGUACCUCCU
rnacentral:tRNA from 1 species